rnacentral:rRNA from 1 species
UACAGAGGUGGCAAGCGUUGUUCGGAAUUACUGGGCGUAAAGGGCGCGUAGGCGGUUCGAUAAGUCCCAUGUGAAAUCCCCGGGCUCAACCUGGGAACUGCAUUUGUGACUGCAUGGCUGGAGUGCGGCAGAGGGGGAUGGAAUUCCGCGUGUAGCAGUGAAAUGCGUAGAUAUGCGGAGGAACACCGAUGGCGAAGGCAAUCCCCUGGGCCUGCACUGACGCUCAUGCACGAAAGCGUGGGGAGCAAACAGG